CCUACGGGAGGCAGCAGUGAGGAAUAUUGGUCAAUGGCCGAGAGGCUGAACCAGCCAAGUCGCGUGAAGGAAGACGGCCCUACGGGUUGUAAACCUCUUUUGUCGGGGAGCAAAGCGAGUCACGUGUGACUCAUUGAGAGUACCCGAAGAAAAAGCAUCGGCUAACUCCGUGCCAGCAGCCGCGGUAAUACGGAGGAUGCGAGCGUUAUCCGGAUUUAUUGGGUUUAAAGGGUGCGUAGGCGGUCGGAUAAGUUAGAGGUGAAAUCCCGAGGCUCAACUUCGGAAUUGCCGCUGAAACUGUCAGUCUUGAGAGUAGUAGCGGUAGGCGGAAUGCAUGGUGUAGCGGUGAAAUGCUUAGAGAUCACACAGAACACCGAUUGCGAAGGCAGUUUACUAAGCUACUUCUGACGCUGAGGCACGAAAGUGUGGGGAGCAAACAGGAUUAGAUACCCGGGUAGUC
rnacentral:rRNA from 1 species